rnacentral:rRNA from 1 species
GAUGAACGCUAGCUACAGGCUUAACACAUGCAAGUCGUGGGGCAGCGGAUACUUAGCUUGCUAAGUAUGCCUGCGACCGGCGCACGGGUGAGUAACGCGUACCGAACCUGCCCAUCACACAGGGAUAGGCUUGCGAAAGCAAGAUUAAUAUCUGAUGGUCUCAAUUUUAUGCAUGUAUGAUUGAGUAAAGCCUUCGGUCGGUGAUGGAUGGCGUUGCGUCCCAUUAGGAAGUUGGCGGGGUAACGGCCCACCAAUCCUUCGAUGGGUAGGGGUUCUGAGAGGAAGGUCCCCCACAUUGGAACUGAGAUACGGUCCAAACUCCUACGGGAGGCAGCAGUGAGGAAUAUUGGACAAUGGGCGAGAGACUGAACCAGCCAAGUAGCGUGCGGGAUGAAGGCCCUUGUGGUCGUAAACCGCUUUUAUCAGUGAAUAAAGUGCACCACGUGUGGUGUCAUUGCAGGUAGCUGAAGAAAAAGGACCGGCUAAUUCCGUG